GGCUGCGUAGCUCAGGGGUUAGAGCGAACGACUCAUAAUCGUUAGGUCGAUGGUUCAAAUCCAUCUGCAGCCA
rnacentral:tRNA from 1 species